rnacentral:rRNA from 1 species
UAUAAAUGUAAAUCUUGAACUAGGGUAGUAAUAGUUAUGUUCUUGAAACCCAAAGAAUUUGGCGGUAUUUUAGUCCUUUCAGAGGAAUCUGUCCCGUAAUCGACAGUCCACGAGAUAUUUUACUUAUUUUUGUUUUCAGUUUGUAUACCUCCGUCAUAAGAGAAUCUUAAUAGAGUUAAAUUUUCUUAAGAUAUGAAAUUUAAUAUGUCAGGUCAAGGUGCAAUUUAUAAAUGAGUGGAGAUGGAUUACAAUAAAGUUAUUUAAACGGAAUAGGAUAUUAGGUUUUUUAUGAAGGUGGAUUUGAUAGUAAUUUUAAUUAUUUAUUAUUAUGAUUUUGGCUCUAAAAUAUGC